rnacentral:lncRNA from 1 species
AAAAAUUAAGCUGUCUAUUCUUAUUAUAUGAUAAAAAAACUGCUAUUUUAUUCCCUUUUAUUUAGCACACAUUUUUUUCCUACCAGCCCAAUUUAUUACAUAAAAUGAUUAUUUCUACAAAAAAGAACAAAAUCCCAAAGUUAAAAAGAACCACAAUCCAAAAUCUCAAAGUAGAGAAGUGAAGAUGGGUUCCAUUCCCAAUCUCUAUAUCAACCCAACGGAAAGCGCGAUUUCCCGCCAGAAAACAUGCGAUUGAGCAAUCGCCUCUUCGAAAAUUUCUGAGGUAUCUCUAUAAUAAUAUAUAUGAUUUACACACGUGCACUUAGGUAAUGUGUAAGCUUCAAUGCUAUGAAUUAUGGUUGAGUUUCGCACUUGUGUUUUGUUGAAUUAUUGUAUAGUACUAUAGUCCGUGUGAUUUGACUAAGAAAAUAAGAGAAAGGUACUGAGAAUGUGUAAGCAAAGCCAAGAAAAUGUGGCUUUGUUUGACAUAACUAUAUUAUAGAUGUGAGAUUGUAUCUUGUAGCUAUGAGAUCGUAACUUAUAUAGUUAAAACCUUAUAAAUGUGUGGUUAGUCGACUAAACUAGAGCUGUUGGAUAAAACUGAUUGUACAACUAGCCGAGGACAAUCAAGCCUUAUCCCAGUAGGUGAGGUCGGCGGCUGAGAUUUAUCAACUGAUUUAAAAAGAAAGACAUGUAAUAUGGGUUGGGGUAAAAAUUUGUCAUUUGCUGAAAAUUGAAGUGCAGAAUUGCUAUAUGAAUUAUUAGAAGAGCUUAAACCUUUCAUAUAGGCUAGCUUCCGAAGGUAGUUCUCCGAAUUUCACUUCCUCUUAGCCUUCUAGUUCUACUACUGAAAAUCCAUCUCCCUCUACUCCUUCUAUCUGUAUUCAUCCAAUGAUGACCAUUGACUAGGUCCAAAUCAGGGAUUGAUAAAUCAUUUGUUCCCAGAGCUCAAGGAGUUUUUCUAGUCCAGACUGAACCCAUUCUAGCACACACUGCGUUCCUUUCUGUACUUGAUGAAUGCAUUUAUAUUUUUAGGAAAAAAGUCACUGGAAGAGUGGUGAUAUGAGUAGAGUGUUUUUUUAAGGGAAAAUAAUAAUCUGUUUUUACAUUAUAGAAGGAAAAGCUCAUUAACAUGAAAUUGGUAAAGUAGUCGACUAUCGACUAUAUUUAUCUUGAUUUCCACUCUUCAUGUAGCUUAGUGGGUUUAUCUGCAUUCACUAUUGUGAUAAAGAGCAAGAGAUAGUGAUAAGGUAGGAUUUGCCUCUUUUAGGUCAUGUUUGAACUUACAAUUUGAGUCUCCAGUAAUUGAUAGAUAAUAUCAAAUUUAUAUCAGAUAACAUUACCCUUAUUUGUUCGGGAACAAUUACUUGCAAUGUUGUUUGGACAAUGGACAUUAGUCUAAUUUAAGCCGCAUAUCAUGGACAUAUAUACAAAUUACACACUUAUGCCUGGUAUGCAUGUGCAAAAUGAGGUCCCAAUACCAUAUAGAUAGGUUCUAAUAGGCAUGUAGGUAGUUGUAGCUACUCACAUCAGAUAUAUGCUUUUGGAUAACAUUAUUCCACUAGUAAUACAAGCACAAGCAAUAAUGACUGAAACAUUAAUAGUUUGGUCAUUGUCUUCAGACUUUAGUUGGGGACAACUGUUCCCACUAGCCCAAAUCCCAUCGUAAAGAAAGCCCCUGCCUGCAGCAACAGAUAGACAAAGAAAUGGUCGUUUCCAAAUAGCAGGUCGUAUAUUGCACAGUGCAGCAUGUACAUCCCCACUAUUAUCUCCAAUGGAUGUAUUGUCUUGAUCAGGGUAAAAGGGUUAUAAAUAGGAAUCCUGCUCAUGAAGGGAAAUGGGUCGUAAGUACGCAUCAGAUGCAUUAAUAGGGAGAAGGGAGUUAGGCAAAUAUUGUCACUGCAUUCUUUACCUUGCAAUCUAAUGUUAUUCAAAUACAUUAUUGUGUUUGAUAGAGCUUCUUUUUUUACGGAAAGAAGGCUUUUAUUUGCAUAGAAAGCUGUGCCAUUAUUCCCGCAUGUUCAGCAAAUGCAAAAACUUUCAGCAGUUUUCAGCAUAGAAAACAGAUUUUUUUAUAAGCUCCCGGUUAUUUUUUCGAGAUUAUUUUUCAAGAUUGUAAUAUAAAUUUAGAAGCUCUACCAAACAGAAGUAUACAAUAUUAUGAAAAGGAGUAAUUUAAAUAUCAUGGUUGUGUUCCUAUUGCUGUUUUUCCUGCAAUUUUAGUUUAUUUUACAUUUAAAUAAAUUUUUUAAUGUUAUCAUAGAGUAAUCCAAUAUCAAUAUUUAUGUUAGUUUAAUAUAUUGCUUUAUUUAGGCAAAGCUGCUAAUACCUUUCCAAAAUUUGAAACCAUGAAAUCCUUGAUGUUGGUGACCUAGCAUUGUUCUUCUGUUUCUUGGCAUUUCCUAGCUUCUCAGUAACAACCCAUUCAUUGACACGGUUUGCUUCUAGAAGUCCUAUAAUGGCUGCUUUAGUUCGAUGAAGUGACAUGACAUUCUCAAAGAGUAUCCAGCAUACAAGUAGAUGUAGGGACCUGUCCCAUAAAUAAGUGAAUGUAGUGUAAUUCAGAUAACUGAGGGACUGUAAAUAAAUUUUACACUAAUGUCCUAAACCAAUUACCUUGGGGUGGAGAUUGCAUUUAGAAUAGUAAUGGCUGCUGGGAUGUAUAUGGCAAUCUUUUUUGUGAGUUGGACUUCUGGAACUAUCACACAAGCUGGUAUAACUAUGCAGUAAAAGAAGAACGUGACCCAGUGUGCGACUAUUUUCCUCACAAAGAAGAAAGCAUAGAUAAGAUGAAGUCUCUUGAAAAGCGACACCCUCUGGAUGAUACAUACCAAACAGUAUAAGAGUUUGUAAAUCAUGAUUCGGUAAGGAUUUGUUUUUAGCCGUUGAUGUGAAAAUUAGAGUUUACUUACUUUGCAAAAGAGGAUUUCUUUGGUCAUUUUCUUAAAUAGGUUAGCUGGACCACAUGACCACCUGUGUUGCUGAUAUCGGUAUGCUUUAAAUGUACUUGGUAGCUCAUUUUGUACCUAGGAAGCAACAAAAGCACCCCCAGGGGCAGGGGUUAGUUUAUGGGUUAUUCAAACUUAGAACAUGAUAUUGUCCUCAAAGCAUAUAGAUCAGAUAUGGUAACUCACUGUCACGUCACCCACAAAAAUGAAUUCCCAGCCCUGCAGGCUUGCCCUAACUGCAAGGUCCAUAUCUUCCACCGUAGUUCGGUCUUUCCACCCUCCAGCGUCUUUUAUUGCUUGAAUCCGCCAUAUUCCUGCUGUCCCUAUAUGUUAUAGAGGAAGUUUGAAUAAGUCAAUCUGCUAAGAUGCUUGUUUGAAUUUAGUUCAAUGAGCCUCAGAACUUACCGUUGAACCCAAAGAAUGAGUAUGUUGAAGAGCCUACUUCCUGUUCAACAGUGAAGUGAUAAUCGAGUGACAUCUCUUGAAGACGUGUCAUCAUACAUUCUUCUGAAUUCACUGCAAAUACGUAACAAAGAAAUUAAAAAAAAUUAAUUCCUUUUAUGUAUUCCUUCCUUAUUAAUACUUUUGCUGCUAACUGGUGUGGCUGCAACAAAUUAACUAGGUGGUUUUACGAGUUACUUACCAAAUUUCCAUCUUGCCUGAACCAAACCCAACUUUGGGUUCUCAAGCAGAUAAGGAAUUGUAUUCCAAAGAAAAUCUGCAUCUGGCUGGAAAUCUGCAUCAAAUAUCGCUACAAACUCACAAUCCUCCACAUACUGCUUCUCCAAACCCUCUUUUAGUGCACCUGCCUUGUAACCAUUACGAUGUCUCCUUGUUUCAUAUUUGACAUUCACACCUUUUUUUAUCCAUUUAUGACACUCCAAUUCAACCAAUUCCUGCAUGUUCGUAAUCACAUGGUUACUGAAUAUAUGCAGAGAGAGGAUUUGCAAUGAAGCUUUAAUGGAUUAAUCAGAUACCCUCAAGACUGGGUUUGUUGAGUCAUCAAGAACUUGAACUAUGAGUCUAUCGGAUGGCCAUGAAAGCCCACAUACUGCUCCAAUGGAAAGCUUGUAAACCUGGAAGCAUAAAUUGCAAUUUUUUGAGCUGAGGUAGUUCAUCCUUGGCCUUCAAUAAUUACCAACAUAACUGUAUCACUUUAAUUGCACAUUCCUAGUUUGGACAAACGAAACUGACUUGUGUAUUCAUUUACUUUGUCAGUUAGCUGUGGUUUAUUACUCAAUGUUAUGUCACCAUGGUUAGGUCCCAUCAUUAUUGAUUGUUAAAAUGCUUUGCAUGGUAGUACUACUACCAAUGUUAAAAUAUCUUAAAAUAAUGACAAUCUGAAAGGACAUGCUUGGUAAAGGGUCUUUGAAAGAUGAUAGACUUUGUUGAUAAGUUUUAUGGGUGAAAAAAAAUUAAAGAAUGAAAAUAAGAAAGUAGGAGUAAUGUAAUAAACUAUUAACACCAUUAUAAAAUGCUUGAGCACACAUAACCUGGUUGAUUUCUACCCAUUUAAUGCUAGUCUAAUUCUUUCUGAUAACUACAAAUGAUAAAGGAUAUGCUUGUUGGAGUUUGGCAUUGUUGUUUAGAACAAUAAACCACUAGCAACUGAUCUGACCACUUAUACAGCAUUUUAGAAUAAGAUUACUGCAUGAUCUGUGGAUGUUAAAGUGGUAAAGGUGCAUACAUGUAAUAUAGCAUUCUAAAAAUUUGGAUUCUGUAGAAGGCUUCUUAAUUGAAAAAGCAAGGGUACCUCUUUCUCAUUAUACAUAGGUAUUUGGAUCAACACCUUGGGGUAUCUUUUGUUUCUCUGCAGUUUCUGCUUCAUGACAUCCAAAUUGUACUUUCUAUAUUUUUUCUUCCCCAGCACUUUGACAAUUGCACAUAUAGUUGCCAUGACUACUCUUUCAACAAAUAGCAUGAUUGACAUAGUUGAGCACAGUAUGACUGCUAAUUUUAGGAGUGGUAUUAUCACUGGGGCCCGUAUUGAUUCCCAGGCAUAGCGCAGAUGGCUUGAAGCAUAUUCUGGUGCCCUUACAUCAGUCUCCUCAAAGAUUAGGUUUCUCAUGGUUGGUGGGGUUUCAGAUAUCAAGGAAUAUAAACCUAAUAAGUUGCUUGGGGGCUUAGACAAGUGCAGGAUGGGUCAGUGACUUGUUGCAGGCAUUGGGCAAGAGGGUAUGAUGAUUGUUGAAGGUGAAACAUUUAUAUAAGAAGGAAAUGCAAGGAAGGAAGGAAGAUGAUGAUGUGAUGGAGAGCUAUUCUUUUUGAGAGACACGUGUUGUUCAUGCACGUAAUGGUGCUGCAACGUAGCUACUUCAUAGCUGGAUAUGUCUUUUCUUGCCGACAAUUUGAUCAAGAGUUUACCGUCAAUGAUUUUGAUCACAGUAAGAAGUUGUUUUGUAUUCAGUCCAAUUUUGUGAGAUUCUGUUAUGUUGCUAGUAAUUAUUAGAUACAUGCCAACAGAGUCAAGCUAGCUUAUUUGGUACUUCGCUAUGGCUUAGGUACGGUCUUUUUGUUAAAUUAAUUUUCUCUUAUCUUCUACAUAUGCUGUUUCUUUCCUUUUGUGAGAAGGCAUAUUCAGCCAUAUAAAGUGUGUUGAUUUUCUUUCGUGAUUAAUUUGUUUGGGUAAGGUCGAUGAUAGUAUGUAGUACUUUGUAGUUUGCUACUAGAUGCUUUUAAAUUCUUUCAUGAAUCUUUCCUAAGCAUUAUUCACAAAAGCAAAUCAACAGAUUUCUCUAAGUAAAAAAAUGAAGUGAUGUAAACAAGAGGUGAGAGGAGGUAAUGUGUGCGAAGUAGAAGAAGAAUGGAGACAAUCCCUUGUUAGGAAAGAUUGACAUGAAUGCUGAAAAAUGGGAUAAAUUAAAAAAGGAGAGUGAGUUUCAUUUUAGUUUAUAUCACAGUUUAGAAGUUUCUUGAUGCCAACGUCUCUAAUGAUGCGAUGCUAUAAUUUUAAAGUAAAAAAUAUAUAAUAUCCUUUAGAAGCAUUUGACUGAUAAAGAAAGAGAAGUCCUUCCUUUCUGGUUUCUGCAAUAAAUUCCUUGCUAUAUGAGAUGGUUGCUAUCCUUUCCUUUUAUCUCAUGUAUUAAGAUAAAGUUUCUCUAGACCUACGAUUUUAUUUUACAUAUUCAUAAAACAUGGUAUUUAGUCUUUUUGUUACCUAAGUCAGUGAUAUUUUUGUAAUUUUUUCUUCUACAAACUUUUGAUUGCAAAGAAAGAAAACCUAAGCUGAAUGAUUUAUCAAGAUUGGAGUUUAGUGAAGCCAGUUUUAAAGGGCCGCUAUUCCAUAAAAAUCAUCAAAAGCACAGACGGUGCUUUCUAAAUAUUUUUAUAUCAUAGCUGAAAUUUCUUUACAAUAAUCUCAUUUUAUUAUAGUUGGUUUAUGCUCUCUGGUUUAAUAGAAAUGACCUAUGGCAUUGUCUGUGUGUGGCCCUGAAUUAUGGCAACUUUUCAUGUCUGACUCAGAUGGUGUGUAUUUACUCUGCGACAUGUUGCAGUCAUUUGGAUUUAUCAAAUUGUCUUACCUUCAAAUUUUGCGUGCACUCAAGUUCAACAUGGACAAUAUCUUGUACUUAAGCUAUACUGUCUGCUUCCUUGUCGGUGUUGUUUCUCUCAGAAGUUAUGACAGAUAAGGGGGUUUACGUUUCAAUCAUUGCUUUCUUCAUUUUGAAAAACUCAUCUCGCUCCUUCCAUUCGAAGUUGAAAUACAAUUUGAAUUACCUAAUUAAUAUUGUGUCGGUGACAAACGUAAUGGUGCUUCCAAAAUGUUUUGGUCGACAAGAUGGGUUAUGUAAGAUUGUUCCCAUUUUGAGAUAAUUAUAUGUUUUAAGUCUUUUGUGUCUUUGGUAAGUAUGAAAUGGUAGCUGUGGAACAGUAAAUAUUGGAAUUUAUUUUGCCUUUGUUGAGUUAAUUAUGUUGUUAGGACUUUGGCAUAGCCUUGGCAUAGGCUGAACAUAUAAACUUCAUUAGCACAUGAGACAUGAUUUGUUGUUGUAAGGAAUAAUUGAUCAAAGAAACCUCUUUUCCUUGUGUGUAUUGGUCUUGAUUAGUUUGAUUCAAAAUUAUGAACUGCAGAUGAUUUGUUAUAUUUUCAUUUUUAUGUAGUCAUGCGUCAUGCCCAUUCAUUGUUUUACCUUGUUUAGUGUUUCACAAUUCACCCACGUAUCUGACUUUCUGAGUUGUUAAUUGCUUGUAUGUUUCCUUGAUUUAGAUAUUAAUAUUAAUAUAUGAUAUAUCUUUCAAGGUAUUACCCAAGCCAGGCGAGAUAAUUCUACAUUAAAUUGGUUGGUCUAGUUUAAUUGUUGCAAGUCCUGAAGCUUGCAUUAUCAUGCAAAUUUUACUGUAUUGUGACACUUGUUAGAUGGUAAAGUAGUGAAAAGGGAAGAGUAUACUUCGAUGGUCUUUGUCUCCAUUCUGACCAACUUAUUUGGUUUCAGCCAUCGGAUGUUGAAAUAGAAAGGAAAAAUAAUAAAAAGAAUAACCCAGUUAAUAUUUCACUUCAGGGAUUAUAAAACUUUUGAGAUCUCUGAAGUGUUGAGCCUGGAGAAUAGGUUAGAUAAGUUGUUUCUGCUUUUGGAGAACUAUAUGUUGAAUUUUGUCCCUGUGGAGCAAUAAAUAUAGGUUUCAUGUGUUUGGGUCAAUUAUAUUGCAGCAUUAUGAGAUUGGCUUGCAUAUACCCUGACAUAAACUUCAGUAGCAUGCAAAUUGUUGUAGUGAGUGAUUAAUCAAAGAAACUUCUAUGCAUUUUGUAUGUCAAAGUCUUAAUUAUUCUGAUACGCCUCACACAAAACUGAAAGCUUCUGGAUUUUAAAAGUUUAUAUCAUUAAUUGGUCCUUAUUAUAGAGAUUCUACAAAGUUUUACAUUGGCUGUCAUGACUGCCUACCAUAACCUUCAUCUUUUAUCCAGGACUUUCAACGUAUAGCAUUAAGCACACAUAGGCAGGUUUUAAUGAUAUAGGAAGUCUGGUGUUUUCCCUUUGAUCCACAUUAACUGCUUUAUGUAUUGCGUGAACAUUUAAGCUUGCAGUUUUUAUUAUAUAGUGAUGCUUGUUAAAUAACAAACUUGUGUAACUGUGAUUUUCAGGUUAAGGAAAUCAGUUUUAUACCAUAUUUUGGAAGGUUCUGUACUUCUAUUUUGCACAUAAGUUAAGUUUGACACUGAUUGUAAUUUUGUAAUAUAAUAUUUUUCCUAUCUUUGCAAUUUAGCUUUUUAUGCUGCUCUGGAUGGCUGGAAGAUGUGAAACUUGUACAGGUAUGUGCUUAUUGGGCAAUGCCAAUUAGAAUGUAAAGAUAUCUUUAAAAUAAUCAUAUUAAGGGCCUUAUUAUCUUUUUAAAUUAUUAUCUUAAUGAUUAACCAGUAUUUGAUUUGUUGUGCCUAUACAUGAUUUAUUCUGGCUGGAUAUUCAUUGGUCAUAUGCAUCAAGCAAUCAUGCCAGUGAAAGGAAAGAGUUGUUGCUCCCCUCCUGCAGAAAAGUUUUUUGGUUAGUAUAUUAUGAAUUGCAAAGUCCUUUUUCAUUGACUAUUGGACUGAUCCUACUUUUUGUAGAGAAAGAUUUGUGUAGAGACGUAUGUAUGUAGAGAUAACCAAUAAAAUUUUGACAACACGUUAAAAAUUUAAUUUUAAUUAAAAUUUAGUUAUUAAUGAUAGCAC